rnacentral:rRNA from 1 species
AUGGUCGAGAUCGCCGCGCGCUUCAUGGAUAAGGUCGAGGAGCAGGCGGUGGCCGCGGCGGCGGCUGCGGCGGAUGACGACGAGGAUGCCGCCGGGAGCGUGGACGGCGACGAGGUGGAGAUGGAGCCCGUGGAGCCCAUGCCGGAGCCCCCCGACGACGCCGGCCCCGUCUGCUGGCCCAUGCCGGACUUCUGCCCUCUCACGAUCGACGGGACGGUGAAGGAGUCCUUCCUGGAGACCCUUCGGAAGGAGAAGGAGGCGGAGGAGCUGCUCGGGGAGGCCGAGCCGGAGCCGACGCCCAGCCCGGACUCGCGGCCGUCGAGCAGCAAGCGCCAGCGCGCCGUCGCCGGGUCGCCGUCGUCCAGGAGCCCGUACAGCAAUCUCCUCCAGGUGUUCCAGCAGUGCAAGCAAGACGUUGCCUGA